rnacentral:rRNA from 1 species
CCCUUAGAUGUUCUGGGCCGCACACGCGCUACACUGAAGGAGGCAGCGUGUACUCCUGGAUCGAAAGAUUUGGGUAACCCGCGAAUCUCCUUCGUGCUAGGGAUUGAGGUUUGCAAUUAUCCUUCAUGAACGAGGAAUUCCCAGUAAGUGCAAGUCAUAAGCUUGCGCUGACUACGUCCCUGCCCUUUGUACACACCGCCCGUCGCUACUACCGAUUGAAUGAUUUAGUGAGGACUUCGGACUGGGACCGAUGCGGCUUUCGGUCUGCGUCGGUAUUCUGGAAAGAUGUCCAAACUGUAUCAUUUAGAGGAAGUAAAAGUCGUAACA